rnacentral:rRNA from 1 species
UAGGGAAUCUUCCACAAUGGACGCGAGUCUGAUGGAGCAACGCCGCGUGAGUGAAGAAGGGUUUCGGCUCGUAAAGCUCUGUUGUUAAAGAAGAAUGUGGGUAAGAGUAACUGUUUACCCAGUGACGGUAUUUAACCAGAAAGCCACGGCUAACUACGUGCCAG